GCCCGGUUAGCUCAGUCGGUAGAGCAUGGGACUCUUAAUCCCAGGGUCACGGGUUCGAGCCCCGUAUCGGGUG
rnacentral:tRNA from 1 species